AGACAGGUUCUGGCCGGUUGUUAUCCGUGCUGUUUGUUCCUCUACCUGUGGCUGCUGUGGAGUUUUCUUGCCUGUUGAGGCUCUGGGCCUCAGCUAUACCUGACCAUUUGGACCAAAGGAACACGCUUCCCUCUUCACACCAAUUGAGAAUGAGCUAAUCGCAUCAGAUAGUGAAGGUCAAGGUUCCACCAAUGGGCUCAUGAAGGUUUCUAAAAUUAUCUGGAAAGGAGCGCGUUGAAAGAGGAAGUGGAGGGACAGCCAACCAGAACCUUACCAGACGCGAAGUCUAGAGCUGACCUUAGUCAUCAUUCAGCAUGAGCAAUGGAGAAGAGGACAGAGGCCUGCCAUCUGAGAAAAUCUCAAGACCGCUCAUUCACACCUCCAUCUUUGAGGAGAGGAGCUUGUGUCCCAGAGAGCUCAAAACAACGCUGCAGCAGAGUAUUAUCAUGGCCUGUCCGUCAAAGGGGCAAAGAGACUCAUAAGGAGAACUCUACAUUCAUUUGUCCAUGUGCUCUCAGGCUGUGCUAAAUGCCUAGAACAGGAUACAAACAAUAGGAACUAGAUUAAUUUAGCAGACUGCUUGGGUCCACAGAGUCAACGAAGCCAUCUUCAAGUUCUGUGAGAUGCCAGUCUAUCACCAGCAGAAAGUUUCUGAGAUCACAUAAAAGGAAGACAGCAAAUUAAGCAAAGACAAAUUGUUUCCACCCUAGAACUUUGCAGAGAUGUCCAUACCCCACUCUGGAUUAAGAUUCAAGGCCCUUGGCUUAAUUCACCAAGACCCUUUUCUCACUUCAAAGAAAUUCUCAGAAGGAAGAGAGGAAGAGCCAGAGUCAUGAAAGGAAUUAAGGGUCAUGUGUAUCCCAGUUUGGUCUCAGAUUUGCUACGGAACCAAGGUUGACCUUGACCUUAUGACCUGUCAGCCUGCUGAAUGCUGGGAUUGCAGGCGAGUCACACCAUGUCAAAUUCCAUAGUGCUGGAGCUCAAGCUUAGUGCUUUGUGCAUGGUUGGCAAGCAGUCUACUAACUAAGCUAAGGCUCUAGCCCCAUAUUUGAAGGUUUUAGGUGCAUUGGACAAGGAGGCGUGGGAGCAUCAGGAAGGACCAUGACCAUACGAGACCAGAAUGGAGGACCUACCAGGCCACCCUGAGCCCCCAGCCACCAGAGAAUCCUGACGUCUGCCCUCUUCCUUGUUGAUGAUGUUCCCACAGAAGGGUUGGUUUUCCAAAGGGAGGAAUUGAGGAGCUUCAGUUCAUCAUCUCUAAUAAUGAACAUUUCUGUUGGUUUAUCAAAUUUCUGGGAAACACAGGACACGGCGUAUGUGUGGAUGACACAUUUUUGUUUGUUUUAAUAUUUGGACUUGGAUAUUUUUUCUGAGCACAUUUGUAAAAGGUCUGUUAGAAGGACUUUUCUUUCCAUUAAUAAUUUUAGGAAGUGAAGCAUAUAGUAAAAUUGGUGACCAACAGAUCCCUAAGUGUUGCAUAAAUAAUCCAGGAAACUGCAAAAUGGUCUUAUGUAAAGUCACUCCACAAAUGCAUGUUUAAUUAGCACCUACUAAUGUAACAGAUGCGUUAGAAAUAAGUUAGGGUGACCUGUACUAUUCUGAACAAUACAGUAUCAGCUCGGAGGGGCCAAGGGCUGCAACAUAACCUGUUUUUAAUUGAGCAACUUGUCACCCAACAAAAUAAGAGACAGCUUGUGUUUUAUAUGUUUCUGUACUGCAUCAUUAUCCAACAAUAAAUGCAAAAA
rnacentral:lncRNA from 1 species